ACCUCGGUGGUGUAGUGGUAGCACGCGUCCCGGUAUGGAUAAGACGUUGGUUCGACUCCCGCCUGAGGUA